UCCGGUUUAUCACCGGCAGUCUCCUUAGAGUUCCCGACAUUACUCGCUGGCAACUAAGGACGAGGGUUGCGCUCGUUACGGGACUUAACCCAACAUCUCACGACACGAGCUGACGACAGCCAUGCAGCACCUGUCUCUCGGUUCCCGAAGGCACUUUCUCAUCUCUGAGAAAUUCCGAGGAUGUCAAGAGUAGGUAAGGUUCUUCGCGUUGCAUCGAAUUAAACCACAUGCUCCACCGCUUGUGCGGGCCCCCGUCAAUUUCUUUGAGUUUUAACCUUGCGGCCGUACUCCCCAGGCGGAGAACUUAACGCGUUAGCUUCGAUACUAAGAGGUAAACCUCCCAACAUCUAGUUCUCAUCGUUGACAGCGUGGACUAC
rnacentral:misc_RNA from 1 species